rnacentral:rRNA from 1 species
CACGGAGGGGGCUAGCGUUGUUCGGAAUUACUGGGCGUAAAGCGCGCGUAGGCGGCUUUGUAAGUUAGAGGUGAAAGCCCGAAGCUCAACUUCGGAAUUGCCUUUAAGACUGCAUCGCUAGAAUCAUGGAGAGGUUAGUGGAAUUCCGAGUGUAGAGGUGAAAUUCGUAGAUAUUCGGAAGAACACCAGUGGCGAAGGCGACUAACUGGACAUGUAUUGACGCUGAGGUGCGAAAGCGUGGGGAGCAAACAGG